UCCGAGUUACACAAAGGUACCAACAAAUGUCGCAGCAAACUAUUGAAAAAUUUCACUUGUAUAUUUCUAGGUGUUCGGGUAGCACCAGGCCAUUCUCCAUUUGUUGUCCGGCCGGUGGAGUCAAGCGAAGUUCAGAUGUGGGAGCCCAGCUUCCAAGGUGUAGCAGACUGGAAGACAACCGCUGCUGUUUAACUUGUGUAUUUCAGGCUGUGCAAUUGUGUCUUUCGGAGAGUUCUUAAAUGUUGAUUUCGGGGAAGUUCUAUUUGUACAUAUCUGCAGUCCAUUUUUUGGCACAAAAUAGUUUCGCCGCUUUAUUUUUGUAUGUACAUGUUUAUCUUUCUUUUACAGCAUCAAGCGGUUCAACUAUUAACUUUGAGAAGUUUAAUUGAGAUGCAGGUUUGCGCCGCCAUUGACUUCCAGGAGCGCCGUCAUGGACUCUCAGCCAUUGAGGAAUCCCUCGAAGAUGCCAGCGGCGACCAUCACAUACACCAGCACCGCUGUAAUGUCGAUCCAACCACUGCGGCGCCAAGAGGUGG